rnacentral:rRNA from 1 species
CCUACGGGAGGCAGCAGUGGGGAAUAUUGGGCAAUGGAGGCAACUCUGACCUAGCAACGCCGCGUGAAUGAUGAAGGUCUUCGGAUUGUAAAGUUCUUUUCUAAGGGAAGUAGAAAGUGACGGUACCUUAGGAAUAAGCCUCGGCUAACUACGUGCCAGCAGCCGCGGUAAUACGUAGGAGGCAAGCGUUAUCCGGAAUGACUGGGCGUAAGGGGUGCGUAGGUGGUUUGACAAGUUAGUAGCGCAACUCCGGAGCUCAACUUCGGAACUACUACUGAUACUGUUGGACUUGAGUGCAGGAGAGGCAAUCGGAAUUCCUGGUGUAGCGGUGGAAUGCGUAGAUAUUAGGAGGAACACCAGUGGCGAAGGCAGCUCACUGGACUGCAACUGACACUGAUGCUCGAAAGUGUGGGUAUCAAACAGGAUUAGAUACCCCGGUAGUC